UGUAGCUUGGCAUAGUGGUUUGAAUGUUGAACUAAGACUCUGGAGACCAGGGUUCAAAUCCCUGCUUUGCAC